GUUGUUUGAAAAUCACCCCCGGCUCUGGCCGUGGCCGGGGGUGAGAUUCGGCGCCCAGAGCCAAAGGGACCUCCGCUCGCCGCCCACUGCACGGUGUGGGGGGCGAAACCCGGGUCCCGACAGGC